rnacentral:ncRNA from 3 species
GUUCUCGCCUCUUGUACACACCGCCCGUCGAAUAGGCGGCCUAAGGAUGAGAGUCUUUAGGUAAAAUCAGCUAAUAUCGGUGAACUCCGUUUAAACGGACAAUACCGAGGGAACCCUGUACCAGACGGUACUGGGGCACCGUAGAGACUUAUAUGGAAGGUACCAGAUAAUCUGGAUUUAAACUUCCAUUAUAUGCUGACCUCCACUUAUUAAUGGAGGAUGAUAUAGUCCAUACUGUUGGUGACAACAGA